UGCCACAGCCAUAUCACCCUGCAGCCCAAGACUGGUUGCCCACUGAAGCUAAGCAGGGUUGAGCCUGGCCAGUACCUGGAUGGGAGACCUCUUGGGAUAACUAGGUUGCUGUUGGAA
rnacentral:rRNA from 1 species